GGGACACGUGGUAUCCUGUCUGAAUAUGGGGGGACCAUCCUCCAAGGCUAAAUACUCCUGACUGACCGAUAGUGAACCAGUACCGUGAGGGAAAGGCGAAAAGAACCCCGGCGAGGGGAGUGAAAAAGAACCUGAAACCGUGUACGUACAAGCAGUGGGAGCACCUUCGGGUGUGACUGCGUACCUUUUGUAUAAUGGGUCAGCGACUUAUAUUCUGUAGCAAGGUUAACCGUAUAGGGGAGCCGCAGGGAAACCGAGUCUUAACUGGGCGUUAAGUUGCAGGGUAUAGACCCGAAACCCGGUGAUCUAGCCAUGGGCAGGUUGAAGGUUGGGUAACACUAACUGGAGGACCGAACCGACUAAUGUUGAAAAAUUAGCGGAUGACUUGUGGCUGGGGGUGAAAGGCCAAUCAAACCGGGAGAUAGCUGGUUCUCCCCGAAAGCUAUUUAGGUAGCGCCUCGUGAACUCAUCUUCGGGGGUAGAGCACUGUUUCGGCUAGGGGGUCAUCCCGACUUACCAACCCGAUGCAAACUACGAAUACCGAAGAAUGUUAUCACGGGAGACACACGGCGGGUGCUAACGUCCGUCGUGAAGAGGGAAACAACCCAGACCGCCAGCUA
rnacentral:rRNA from 1 species